UACGGGGGGAGCAAGCGUUGUUCGGAUUUACUGGGCGGAAAGGGCGCGUAGGCGGCCAGCACAAGUCAGUUGUGAAAUCUCCGGGCUUAACUCGGAAAGGUCAACUGAUACUGUGCGGCUAGAGUGCGGAAGGGGCAACUGGAAUUCUCGGUGUAGCGGUGAAAUGCGUAGAUAUCGAGAGGAACACCUGCGGCGAAGGCGGGUUGCUGGGCCGACACUGACGCUGAUGCGCGAAAGCCAGGGGAGCGAACGGG
rnacentral:rRNA from 1 species